rnacentral:rRNA from 1 species
UACGGGGGGUGCGAGCGUUGUCCGGAAUCACUGGGCGUAAAGGGUGCGUAGGUGGCGGGGUAAGUCAGGUGUGAAAUCUCGGAGCUCAACUCCGAAACUGCACUUGAUACUGCCUUGCUCGAGUACUGGAGAGGAGAUUGGAAUUUACGGUGUAGCAGUGAAAUGCGUAGAUAUCGUGAGGAAGACCAGUGGCGAAGGCGGGUCUCUGGACAGUUCCUGACACUGAGGCACGAAGGCCAGGGGAGCAAACGGG